rnacentral:rRNA from 1 species
GAUGAACGCUGGCGGCGUGCCUAACACAUGCAAGUCGAGCGAUUUACUUCGGUAAAGAGCGGCGGGCGGGUGAGUAACGCGGGGGUAACCUGCCCUGUACACACGGAUAACAUACCGAAAGGUAUGCUAAUACGAGAUAAUAUGCUUUUAUCGCAUGGUAGAAGUAUCAAAGCUUUUGCGGUACAGGAUGGACCCGCGUCUGAUUAGCUAGUUGGUAAGGUAACGGCUUACCAAGGCGACGAUCAGUAGCCGACCUGAGAGGGUGAUCGGCCACAUUGGAACUGAGACACGGUCCAAACUCCUACGGGAGGCAGCAGUGGGGAAUAUUGCACAAUGGGCGAAAGCCUGAUGCAGCAACGCCGCGUGAGCGAUGAAGGCCUUCGGGUCGUAAAGAUCUGUCCUCAAGGAAGAUAAUGACGGUACUUGAGGAGGAAGCCCCGGCUAACUACGUGCCAGCCGCCGCAGUAAAAC